CCCUGGUAGUCCACGCUGUAAACGAUGAGUACUAGGUGUCGGGGGUUACCCCCCUCGGUGCCGCAGCUAACGCAUUAAGUACUCCGCCUGGGAAGUACGCUCGCAAGCGUGAAACUCAAAGGAAUUGACGGGGACCCGCACAAGUAGCGGAGCAUGUGGUUUAAUUCGAAGCAACGCGAAGAACCUUACCUAAGCUUGACAUCCCAAUGACAUCUCCUUAAUCGGAGAGUUCCCU
rnacentral:rRNA from 1 species